AAGCUGCAGCAAGAAGGGUGUGGGUGCACGAGACCCUCAGGUCUAGAGAGCGGUUUGGGGAAUUCCGGCUGGUGAAGGAGCUCUGCUUUUACUGGGACCGGUUCCAGGAGUAAUUUUGGCUCAACAGGGAGCAAUUUGACAGUCUGCUGACGAGAGUUGGGCCUACGAUUUCCCGGAUGAGAACAACAUUCUGAUAGCCC